GGUGCGGAGGGGUAGAAGGGCCGGGACUCGAGCUGCGCAGCUGCGGAGGCGACAGCUCUGGGCCGCCGCGCUGAGUGGGGGCGGAGCUAGGGGCCAUGGCGCAUGCGCGAGGGAGCCGUUUGGAAACUGGCACCUACGUUUGUAGGGCGUGGUCCUCCCGAAAGGAGGGGUCGGCUCGGUGGGGGGAGGGGAAGAGGGCGGAGGGACUGGUCGGAGUCUGCGCGGCGCUCGGGGCUGUGACCCCGGCUAAUUCCGGAGCGUUGCCUCUGGCGCAGGCGCAGUGUAGCUGGGAGGCCUGGGACCGCGUCUGACUUUCACACAUGAGCUCGUGACCUGCCUCCGUUGUCGCCUUCAUCCCCGGGAGUCCUCACUCCUUCCAACUCCGAUUCCCAACUCGUGCCAGCACUGUCCUACUUUUCAGAGGGGAGGGUGGAAGGAGGUGGACGCGCCAGUUUCCCGACCUCGACCAGGCGGUGUUAGUAGUGAGAGUGCGCACUUUUCCUCUCGGAUCCCUAGGAUCAGUUCUUUCUGUUUCUGUUAGAGGUUUUCACAUUUCAUUGUCACUGCAUUCACAAAAAUAUUUCGCAGAUCCCGUACACUUAGGAGAUAAAGGGACCAAAGCACCCUGCAUUGUAGGUGCCUGU